rnacentral:rRNA from 1 species
UGGGGAAUAUUGCACAAUGGGCGAAAGCCUGAUGCAGCGACGCCGCGUGAGGGAUGACGGCCUUCGGGUUGUAAACCUCUUUCAGCAGGGAAGAAGCGCAAGUGACGGUACCUGCAGAAGAAGCGCCGGCUAACUACGUGCCAGCAGCCGCGGUAAUACGUAGGGCGCAAGCGUUGUCCGGAAUUAUUGGGCGUAAAGAGCUCGUAGGCGGUUUGUCACGUCGGAUGUGAAAGCCCGGGGCUUAACCCCGGGUCUGCAUUCGAUACGGGCAGACUAGAGUGUGGUAGGGGAGAUCGGAAUUCCUGGUGUAGCGGUGAAAUGCGCAGAUAUCAGGAGGAACACCGGUGGCGAAGGCGGAUCUCUGGGCCAUUACUGACGCUGAGGAGCGAAAGCGUGGGGAGCGAACAGG